rnacentral:tRNA from 1 species
GGGGUUUAGCUCAGCUGGGAGAGCGCGGGCUUUGCAAGCCUGAGGUCAGGGGUUCGAUUCCCCUAACCUCC